CUAUUUAAAGCCAUCUUUUCUCGUUAAUGAAGUAUCACUUUUAGUCAAACAAUUCACAAUCUAUGCAAUCCGCGUGGAAACAGUGACGGCAAAUCGUUAAUCGCCUCAUCUUCUCUCCUUCCUCCGCCUCUUGUAGACACACGGCGCAGAAAGGCGGAGACGAAUCAUCGUUUGCCGCCGCUCUCCACCGGCGGAACGUAAAAGUGCGGUGGCGAUACCAUGGACUUAUGAUGAUCAAAGUGGCGAAUCUUACAGAGAAGACAGCAACGGAGGUAACCAAAAUAGAAACGGUUAUAUAUUCGCAAAAUCUAUACACAGAUUGAGUCAACAUCCUCCAACAAAAAGUAUUAACAAGUGAUUGAAGAAAGAACGAGAGACUCUUCUUGUGGCGUGUGUGUGUAAGAAACCUACGUAGACGCGUGAUCAUAUAACUACAAGUCUUUUGUGAAUGAAUUGAUGAGGUUAUUUUCGUGGACUAGGAGUCUGUUGAACCAAGGAUUCACACAAUAGAUUUGUUUAGAGAGGGAAAACAAAUCUAGUAAUUUCUCUUCAUUAGGUAUUCUAUCCAAGACUCGAUUACAAAACAUGUUCUAAUCUCUUAUGAAAUACAUUAGGGUUUUGCUCAAGAACAGAAAAAGAGUUAGGGUUUUAAAAAGGUAUAGCUGCAUCCAUGAUGGAUUGCCUACGUACCCUGUGAAGGGAUCAAGCCAUUCGUAGUUCUCAAUAGGUAUAAAGUUAUGUGUUUCUUCUCCGUAUCCAAAGAUCUCCCUUUUGUGAAGUCCCUGAGGCACUUUAUAUAGGAUCCUUAAACCGCCCCCCUAGCGAUAUUUUUCGGAAGAUUCUUAUUUAUCCUUAGGUCGGUUCUAGAGGAUAAUCGUCCUAAGGAUAUUCUCCUUAUUCUUCGGAGGUUUUGGGGAGAUUUCCUGAUUUCAACAUUAUCUUCAAAGAUUCUCCUUUAUCAUUUCCGAAAGUCCCAUAAAAGAUCCCAUUUUACCGGAAAUGAUCCUUGGAGAAUGAAUGGUUUUUACAAGUCUUUGCCUCGCGUGUUCUUCACGGCUCGGUGGUCGUUUGAGAGGUGGCUUCGGGGCAAACGGUAUGUACCGGCUCGGGGCGCGCUUGAUGACUCCAUUAAGCUCAGUUGGCUGUCUCCCGAGCCGAUAUAGAUGUUUCCCGCAGCGUUCUCACGAUUGGCUCGGGCUGUGUUCAUAUGAUUAACACCCGAGCCAUUUUACAAACUCUCUUCGGGACGGUCGAUCGAAUAAGGUCCCGAGGUGCUUUGUUCUAGGCUAGGGGCCAUUCAUAUGUUUAACCAUGAGGUGAUUGUUAUUCUUAGACUGUUUGGCUCGGUCUUGCUUGUGGGGGAAUCCGACCCCAACAGUUAGCCCCCCAGCUCGUUGGUUAAGAGUUAAUGCGACGAGCUUCAUGAAUGGUGUGACCGAGCCAGCUGCUUCCGCAUCUAUACUGACUGAUCCGUAUCUUUUGAGAGUAAGGCUUGUUUUUUCUUGGUGCUACGAGAUUCUGUUCUUGACGAGUGUUGCUAUCUCGAACUCAAAAUGUUAGCUGUUGACAAGUUGUGAGCUAGGAAAGCUGCUAGGAGACUUGUUGAAGAACUCCAAGCUGUUGACGAGCUGUUAGGCGGGCAAUAGCUAGGACGGCUGCCGACGAGCUGUUAGCUGGGCGAACUACGAGUCAGAGAAACUGCAGACGGACUGAGCUAGGAAAAGUGCAGACUAGGUGCUAGCUAGACGAACUGCGAGCUAGGAAAGCUACAGACGAUCAGGGAGCUAAGAAAGCUGCAGACGAGCUGUUAGCUAGGCGAAGUGCAGACGAGCUGCUAGCUAGGAAAGCUACAGACGAACUGGGAGCUAGAAAGGCUGCAGACGAGCUGUCAGCUAGGCGAAGUGCAGACGAGCUGCUAGCUAGACGAACUUCGAGCUAGGAAAGCUACAGACGAACUGAGGUGGUUGGCUCGGGUACAAAUUGCCUGAGUCAAAGUUGGGUUCAGUAUACUUCGUUCCGAGCUGAUCGUCUCGGUACCAGGUUCUUCGGGAUAACUGGAUUUCUAAGCACAGACCAAAGCAGAUAAGAAACUGUAUUUAGCCGAAGCAAAACCUCGGCACCAGUGUUUAUGAUAACUGGGUUUCAGUUUCCGAGGCGGUUGACUCGGUACCAGUGUGUUUAGAGUAACUGGAUUUCAGUAGAUUUGAAUACCCACGGUUGCGACCCGAUUUGAUUCAAUCUUUUACCAGCGUUUAGAAACGAGCUGGGGCACCGGUGUUAAGUAUAACCGGGUUUCAGAAGAUAGAAUUCAUAGUCUGCUCGGAAAAACAUUCGAGCAGAUUCUUAUCUUGAAUAUUUAUAUAGCGCGCUGUAACCGAAGCGGUGUAAAUGAAACUUUCAAAAUAAUAGGCCGUCGCCCGUUAAAAUAUUUCAAAAUAAAA
rnacentral:sRNA from 1 species